CUCAUAACAGAGAUCAACCAAUGAAAAUAAGUCAGGGAACUACUUCUGGGGGCUGUACAUGUACCACAAAAAGUAAUCCAUAGUUUUUUCUGUUUUAUAUCAGUAAUCUUCAAAAUUUAUGAGUAUGUGAUUGAAUGGAAUAAAAUCUUCCUCUAGUACAAAAAUAUAUUAACAUCAUAGAUGUAACAUUACCUUCAUUAGCUGACUGUAAAUGGCACAUUUGCCCAAGAAUAUCAAAAUUUCAAAUCUACACAGGAAGUUCUUUGACAGAGAGCAGAACAGAGUAAAAAUUUGGGAGAGUGUUUCCCUAAAUAUUUUACUAUGUGCAGCUUAUUUCAUCUUGGAAGUUAACAAUAAUUUACAGAAUGCACCAGGUAUAGCAUCAUAUGUGUAUAUAAAGUAUCAGCACACAUGAAUGAAUUGAGAUAUGUUUAGUGACCCAAUGUAUUGUGUUCAAAGGCUCCAUCCAACAGUUCAAAGACAUGUCAUAGCAGUGGAGCAAAUGAUGGCUUUGUGGUGGUUAGUGAAAAACUGUGGCAAUCUACAUUGGUGGUGGCAAACACUGACAGAAAAUUUCUGGACCAGCAGUGACAUUAAGUUGAAAAUAAUGACAUAUUUUACACUGUACUGAAGAUGUAAUUGCGAAAAUUAUUUAAGAAAUAAUAUAUCUCAUUCAGUGAUUUGUCGCUGAAUAAAUCAUUGUUUGGAGUUCAGAUGCG